AUACAGAGAGUUUUAACGAUGAGGAUUCACAGAUAACGGUGGACCUAUCUAAUGUACCAGAUCUUCCCUUGAGAAGAGUUUUGAUUGACUGUUCGGUUUCACAAAAUUCUUCACAAUCUAUAUCGCUUAUGCCUUAAUUAACCCAUCAACUUGACUCUCCAGACCCCAAAAAACCAACCCCUACUAUCACUCCCACUUUUAUUACUGGUCCCUCAAUUUUUUCAAAUCUUAUGUUCCAUCCCCUUCCUUCCGAUACCCAUACCCCUAAUUUUGGGAAUUUACACAGAUUUGAGAUGAAGAUCGAGGAAUUGGACGACGUGGGUUGUGAUCCAAACGACGAUCCUUGUUACAGAAAGCAGAUUGUGAAGGUUGACGCCAAGAGAGCGUUGGUGGGAGCGGGUGCUCGGAUCCUCUUUUAUCCGACCCUUUUGUAUAAUGUGUUUCGUAACAAAAUCCAGGCCGAGUUCAGAUGGUGGGACGAAGUUGAUCAGUUUGUUUUAUUGGGCGCGGUUCCGUUCCCUAAGGAUGUUCCCCGGUUGAAGCAACUGGGUGUCGGUGGAGUCAUCACUCUCAAUGAAUCUUAUGAAACUCUCGUUCCCUCGUCCUUGUAUCAUGCCCAUGGGAUUGACCACCUAGUAAUUCCCACAAGAGAUUAUCUCUUUGCUCCUUCGUUUGAUGAUAUUAGGAGAGCUGUUGAUUUUAUUCACAGGAAUUCAUCUUCUGGUAGAACUACUUAUGUUCACUGUAAAGCUGGGCGUGGAAGAAGCACAACCAUUGUGCUUUGCUAUUUGGUAGAGUAUAAGCACAUGACACCAGCUUCUGCCUUGGAAUACGUGCGAUCUAGAAGACCUAGAGUGUUGCUGGCCCCCUCACAGUGGAAGGCAGUUCAGGAAUUCAGCGGGCAAAGACCCACUACUGCUACAUAUUCUCCCUCAGGUGAUGCAGUUCUAAUAACAAAAGAAGAUCUUGAAGGGUAUCAUGGCACUUCUGAUGAUAAUGCUGGAAAGGAGCUGGCCGUUGUAUCCAGAACAAUGAGGACUGGGCCCAUGAUGGCUAGAUUGUCAUGCCUCUUCGCAUCCUUAAAAGUUUCUGGUGUUAGUGGACCUGUCACCAGGAGGCUACCUGAGGCACGUGCUUGCUAAAUGCCCAAUGCUCCACCAGAUCCUAUGAAGUUGUUGUUUGUACAGGAGCAUUAUGAAAUAAAGUUCAGAGCUCUGACCAUUACCCUGUAUUCAGGCUAAGGCUAAUACUCAUUUGGGGUGGUGGGUUUUCGCAACUGUUCCUGCAAUUCAUGUGAAUACCCUUUUCUGUCGAUUGAUCACUGGGUAGCAUAGUUGGCAGAUGCAGACGUACAUCUUGGAACAUUUGCCGAUAAACGUAUGGUAAGUAUGAAUUGCAUGAUGCUGUACUUUAUCGACUGGUGGUUGGAUCUGUAGUUAAUACUUUACUUGACAGAUUGUGUAUCCCAAACAGGUCUUACUGUCGCUUCAUGCAAUAACCCAUUAACAGAUAAAAAGCUUCUUGAAUGUAUGUUUGUUUUCAUUCUUUAGCAAUCAUAGUUUUUGUUGACUGGUAGUCACGGAAGGAAUAUAUAUUGA